rnacentral:tRNA from 1 species
CGGGACGUAGCGCAGUUGGCCAGCGCGCAGCGUUUGGGACGCUGAGGUCGUCGGUUCAAAUCCGACCAUCCCGA